GUCAAGAGUGUCACUGUAGCAACUUCUUGGGGAGAGAAUUCAUUUGCAUUUUUCCAUCUUUUAUUACAAAAAUAAAAAAUUCCCUCCCCUUUUCCUUCUUUUCUCUCCCCAACAGCCUCUCUUCCUCCUUCCCCCACUCCCUUCCUUUCCGCCGCCUGUCCCCUUCUUUCAGCUGUCGCAAACUCUUUCUUCUUGCCCCUCCCUUGCCGACGUUGCCUACUUCUUCUUCUUUCUUGCUGCCAACGACGAGUUAAAGGAAGGAAAGCUCCUCCAUCGCUACCACCGCAAGAACAGCCGUCUGCCAUCGCCUUUUCACCAAUCCAACUCCAAAAUCGUGUUCCCCACCAUCAAUAACCCAAAGCCCGCUCUUCCCCCCCGUUUUUCCUCGCCGGCAGUAGUGGGUGAGUCUCGUCGGAGUCAAAACUUUCCCCCUUGAUACGGUGACUUCCGGCGAGUUUCAAGCGAAGAGAUUUGCAUAUUCGGACUCCCCACAACUCAACCUUCACGUACGCGCUUAUAAAUUUGAAAUUCAUCACUAUUGGCUUCACUAGCUUUCGGACCCCGGCGUUUCCUAGACAUGCAGAAGUUCAGGAUAGGAAAAAUAAUGCAGUUUUGGCGCCCGUCUACCACUGUACGAGGUGUAGACAUUCAUAUUUUAGUAGAGGUUUUGUCGAAUUUUUGGUAGACUUUUCGAGUCGGAAUUUCUUAGGCAGUCUAAUCUUAGAGUCUAGGCCUAGGAGAAAUUAAGAAUAUCUUAUUAAUUGAAUUAUUUUCAUGAAUAGAUAAUUCGUUCGUCUAGCCAGCUCUGCCCGAAGAGUAGGAGCAAACUGCGGAGCGCCGCAGAACUGACCGCGUUGCAGUAGUAAAAGAAUAUUUUUGAGACUUGCCCUCGUCGAUUACAAAUCUCUAGGCUGUGAGAAUUUGACUAUCGGAGGAAGAGUUCAUGGUUAAGUGUUGCUCUCUAGGCACCAGCUUUAUUAGGAAUUAAGUGACUAGGCUCGAUUUAACGACCUUGGUUGAGCUUUGCUCUCUGGGCGCCAAUCCUAUUGGAAUAAAAGAGCUGCUAGUAUUGGGGUUAGGGUUCUGCUGAGAUAUUCGUCCCAUAAAGUUUAAAUUAUAUUUCUUUCUGAAUCAUGGCAUGACACGCGUUUUAAUAUGAUAUAAUAUUCUAUUCU